rnacentral:rRNA from 1 species
UACAGAGGUCUCAAGCGUUGUUCGGAUUCAUUGGGCGUAAAGGGUGCGUAGGUGGCUUGGUAAGUUGAAGGUGAAAUCUCGGAGCUCAACUCCGAAACUGCCUUCAAUACUGCCGAGCUCGAGGACUGUAGAGGAGAAUGGAAUUCACGGUGUAGCAGUGAAAUGCGUAGAUAUCGUGAGGAAGACCAGUGGCGAAGGCGAUUCUCUGGGCAGUUCCUGACACUGAGGCACGAAGGCCAGGGGAGCAAACGGG